rnacentral:lncRNA from 1 species
GCAACAUAUGUGGUGCCUUUUGUAAGCUAAGUCGUGUUAUUGAAGUAAUUGUUCUUCAGGUAUUCCUUUAAUUUUUUUAAUAUGAUGCCGAGAUAACCAUGGUGGCUCCUCUAUAGUGUUUGGCUUUCUCGGAAAUCUUUUCCUUUUGGCAAUUUCUUUUAUCGCUCAUUUUUUGGGAGUACUCUGUUGAUUCAUAUUACACCCUUAAUAAAGUUUUUGUUUCAGACCUGCAUUCAGUCAAUCAUCCAUUGGCACUUAAGUCCUGUGAAGCACCUAUAUUAUUAGUCAAAAUCUCAUUUUGUUGCAAUACAACAUUAACAUUGAUUCAAAGCUUGGUUCGGUUGUGAAUGCAACAUGUGUUUUUAUCUUUAUAAUAUUUAUUAUGUUGCUAAUUUCAGUGCUUCAGUUUUCUCAGUCGUCACAUGAACAUGAUGAACGUGAAGAGACAACGAAAGAACGAAAGAAGGGGAUAAAGUUCCUUGCAGCACCAAUAUUGAUAGCAUCUCGAGGGAUUGAUAGGGGACGCAUGUACCCAUUCGUCCCUCCGUAAGACUUGUCGUCGUCGUUCUUCUCCAAAUAUCUUGUCCCUACAGAGGUUAGUAAAUAAGUGGAAAAGAUAGAGAGAUAGGUCCUUGGUUUGGUUUCAGUCGGCAAAUAAUCUGGAAUAGUAGCGGUUGCUACCCACAUGAUUUGUUUUCAUAUACUUUAUAAUUCAGAGGCAGGUUGGAUUCUAGAAAUCAGAGUCAAUGGUGGAUCAGAGAGGUGUGUGUGCAUCAUGCUUCUAUUUGAAAAAAAUGUGAGCACUGUUUUGUUAGGUGUCAUCUUCUUACUUCAUGUUGCAGCCAGAAUAAAAUGCUUUGGUUUUACUUUGUGCUCGGUGUUGGUAGUUGGCAGUGCUGGAGUUAUUCACCCUCCGACAAAAUCCACUAAAAAUGAUAGGGAUACAUAUCUAACUUGCUCUAUCUAGCUCAUGCUUUGAGGAGCAGUUUGAUACUUGUGUUUCAUGUUUUUGGGGAGUUAUUCUGGCUGGUAUUUAUUGUGGUCAUUUCUUCCAUUAAUUUUUUUGAACUAACUUUGAUUUCUUCCAUC